rnacentral:rRNA from 1 species
UACAGAGGGUGCAAACGUUGCUCGGAAUCACUGGGCGUAAAGGGCGUGUAGGCGGGAAGGAAAGUCAGAUGUGAAAGCCCUGGGCUCAACCCAGGAACUGCAUUUGAAACUCCCUUUCUUGAGUGUCGGAGAGGAAAGCGGAAUUCCUGGUGUAGAGGUGAAAUUCGUAGAUAUCAGGAGGAACACCGGUGGCGAAGGCGGCUUUCUGGACGACAACUGACGCUGAGACGCGAAAGCGUGGGGAGCAAACAGG